CACAUAUAUACACAAAAACGUGUUUUAGGUUAAUUCAGAAACAUCUCUAAUAAUAUAAACACAAGGUCAUUGCAAUAAUUAUGCAGAAGACUUUUUGGACACAUACAUCGAUCGAAUUCAUGGAGAGAGCAUAAUAUCCAAAGGGAACAGCAAGAUGAAUACCAAAGAAGAUUAAAGAUUUGAAGCCUUGAUAGAGAUUUUUCAAUAAUGAGAGAUCUCAAUCUUGAAUGAAGAUCGUACUAUUGAUGAUAGGUGGCAUAAUGUCAGAUCAUAAACGAGUGAAAGGUCUAAAAAUAUUUGAAGGAAUUGUUGAUGAAUUCGUGUUCUGAGUUCUCAUCUUUCUUCAGCUUUUGACUUGGCAUGGCGUGGCCUUUCCUUUAAUUAACUGAAAAUCAGAAAUCCAUUGGACGCAUGCAGUGUACUCUUUCAGUGAUCAAUCCAAAUCAUUGUAAUUGUACGUACUAAACGAUAUUGGACCACUUCACCCAUCAUCAUACAUACUAUUCAUACAUAUAUUUAUUUAUUUAUAUUCUCAUAUAUCAUCAUCUCUCAAUUUUAAUUUUUAAUUAGUUGUAAUUAUAUUCAUGUGCAAAUUAUUUAU